GCUGUUACCGCCCAACAACGGAUCACCCUUGAAGGCUAAAACAGCAGCACCCUCCUCCUCCUCCUCCUUCAGAAACCCUAAUCCUAGCCCAAGCGGAGGAUGUCUGCGAUCGAGCCCGGCGGAGGUGGAGAACAGGGCGGGUUCCACCGCAACGAGGCCAUCUCGGCCGUUCAGGACGAGGAGCAGUUAUACGGGGAGGACGAGGACUACGACGACCUCUACAACGACGUUAACGUCGGCGAGGGCUUCCUCCACGCCGUUCAUCGGACCGACGAGCCGGGGGGGUAUCCGAGGGAGGACGGGAGCAGGAGAAAGCCUGCGCCGCCGCCCCCGGUGCUCCCGCCGUCGGGGGAAGCGCCGGAGAAGGUCCAGAUCCCUGGGAUCGCUGGCGACCCGAAGAUCGAGAGGCCGGUGGAUAGAUCCGGUGGCUUUCAUGAGCAAGGGUUGCGGGGAGGUGGAGAAUCCACGGUCGCGGCGCGGCCUCUGGCGCCGCCGCAUGGUGGAAAUAGGCCUGAGUUAGGGCAGUCUUCUGGUCGAUCCGGCGAGACCCAGGGACAAUCGAGGAACUCUAGUUAUGGGAAGGAGGGUUAUCAAAGGCAAGGGAGUGGCUAUAGAGGUGAGGCGAGGCAGGUAGGAAGCGGGCCUGCAGGGGGAGGGAGUGUGAAUGGUGGAGGAGAAGGAGCUGGGGGGACUACUCUCUUCGUGGGGGAGCUUCACUGGUGGACGACGGACGCUGAUCUCGAGACAGAGGUCAGCAAGUACGGGCAGCUGAAGGAGGUGAAAUUCUACGAUGAGAAGGCGAGCGGGAAGUCGAAGGGGUUCUGCCAGGUCGAUUUCUAUGAUCCAGUGGCCGCUGCAGCGUGCAAGGAAGGGAUGAACGGGCACGUCUUCAAUGGCCGACCCUGUGUCGUGGCAUUUGCAUCGCCGCACACUGUUCGUCGGAUGGGAGAAGCUCAACUCAAGAAUCAGCAGAUGCCAGCCCAAUCUUCAGCCUUGCCUCAGAAGGGGAGAGGAGGGGGAGGGGCCCCAAUGGGUGGGAAUUAUGGGAGGGGUGGUGGUGGUGGUGGUGGUAAUUGGGGGAGGGGUGGGAUGGGGAAUCGAGGGCCAAUGGGGAAUAUGAGGAACAGGAUGGGUCCUGUGGGCGGCAGAGGAAUCAUGGGAAACGGUGGGAUGGUCGCUCCACCACCUCCGAUGCUGCAUCCUGGUGCUAUGCUUGGUCAAGGUUUUGAUCCAACUGGUUACGGAGCAGUGGCUAUGGGGAGAAUGGGUGGUGCAUAUGGAGGCUUUCCUGCAGGGCCGACGACAGCUCCAUUCCCGGGAUUGAUGCCUUCAUUUCCUCCAGUUGUGGCUCCUCAUCUGAACCCAGCCUUCUUCGGAAGGGGAGGGAUGGCCGCUGGUGGUGUUGGGAUGUGGCCGGAUCCCAGUAUGGGUGGAUGGGGAGGUGAAGAGCAGUCAAGUUAUGGGGAUGAUGCUGCUUCAGACCAGCGGUAUGGAGAAGGAAGCCAUGGCAAGGAUCGGGGUCCUGAUCGGGAUUGGUCACGGGUUUCGGAUAGAAGGCAUGACAAGGAGACGGACAUGGGUCCUGCACAGGAAUGGUCGGAGAGGAGGCAUCAUGAUGGAAGAGAAAUGGAUAGGGAGAGGGAUCGUGAUUGGGAGAGAGACAGGGACAGGGAGAGAGAAAGGGGGAGGGACAAAAACAGAGAGGGGGGAACGGAGAGGGAGAGGGAAAGGGAUAGGUAUCGGGAUGACAGAGACCGUCAUGGAGAUCACUACAGGCAAAGGGACCGUGAAUUGGAGCAUGCUGAUGACUGGGAUAGAGGACGAUCAUCGAUGCAAAGAAGCAAGCCACGGGAGGUUGAGCAUUCGAAGAGGCGGCGUUUAUCACCUGAGUGAGAUGGGGUGUUAGCAAAUUCCUUAGCUAGGAAGGAGAUCAAUGAUUUGUGAGCAAGCAUGUCACUCACUCCUGUUUAUGUUUUAGACUUUUAGUAAUUUCAUGCUCAUGGGACAUUUGCAGACGUUGCUUGAAUGGACCUGUUGUAGCUGUCAUUUUUGAUAUAAGAGCAGUUGGAAAUGGUUUGGCUACAGUAGCAGGUCCCUCUUUGUUGAGUGGAUGCCGGUUAUCUUCUGAGCUUACAAAUUGAAUGAGUGAUGUGAAUGGUGCAUGUAUUCUGCUCCAAAACCAAUUUAGUAACUGUCCUCUUGGUUUGAAACAUUUGGAAUGUAUUGAAGUGCUGUAGGAGAUUUCACUGCAUGGAAUGUAAGAUUUAAAUGAUAGGAAAAAGGUCUUGCUGAUUUA